CUUUCGCUCUUGUUUCGAUUGCCCUCAUCCACAUCUCGAAGUUGCCACCACCAUCAUUACCACACACACACACACACACACACACACACACACACACACACAGCAAUGGGCAAGAAGGGAAAUUUAUUGGGCGACUCCGGCUCUGCGGCAACCGCAUCUCCACCGGCGAAUAUGAUUUUGUUGCCCAAAACGCCAAUAGAUACGAAAGAUUUCAUCGGCAUCUUUUCGUUUCCUUUCUGGCCAGUACGCUUCGUCGUCACGGUGGUGGCACUCUUCGUCGUAGGCGCCAGCUGCUUCCAAGCCUUCACGGUUCGCAUGACCUCCGUUCAGAUUUACGGAUACCUGAUCCACGAGUUCGACCCGUGGUUCAACUACCGCGCUGCCGAGUACAUGUCCACGCACGGCUGGUCCGCCUUCUUCAGCUGGUUCGACUACAUGAGCUGGUACCCGCUGGGCCGCCCUGUUGGCUCCACCACGUACCCGGGCCUGCAGCUCACUGCCGUCGCCAUUCACCGCGCGCUGGCGGCUGCCGGCAUGCCGAUGUCUCUCAACAACGUGUGCGUGCUGAUGCCGGCGUGGUUUGGCGCCAUCGCCACCGCUACUCUGGCUUUUUGCACGUACGAAGCCAGUGGUUCGACAGUAGCGGCGGCCGCUGCCGCACUCUCCUUCUCUAUCAUCCCGGCCCACCUGAUGCGGUCCAUGGCGGGUGAGUUCGACAACGAGUGCAUUGCCGUCGCAGCCAUGCUCCUCACCUUCUACUGCUGGGUGCGCUCGCUGCGCACGCGGUCCUCGUGGCCCAUCGGUGUCCUCACCGGUGUCGCCUACGGCUACAUGGUGGCGGCGUGGGGCGGCUACAUUUUCGUGCUCAACAUGGUUGCCAUGCAUGCCGGCAUAUCAUCGAUGGUGGACUGGGCCCGCAACACGUACAACCCGUCGCUGCUGCGUGCAUACACGCUGUUCUACGUCGUCGGCACCGCCAUCGCCGUGUGCGUGCCGCCAGUGGGGAUGUCGCCCUUCAAGUCGCUGGAGCAGCUGGGUGCACUGCUGGUGCUUGUCUUCCUGUGUGGACUGCAGGCGUGCGAGGUGUUUCGCGCACGCGCCGGUGUCGAGGUUCGCUCUCGCGCGAACUUCAAGAUCCGCGUGCGCGUCUUCAGCGUGAUGGCUGGCGUGGCUGCGCUUGCGAUCGCGGUGCUGGCACCGACGGGGUACUUCGGGCCCCUUUCGGUCCGUGUGCGUGCGCUGUUCGUGGAGCACACGCGCACUGGCAAUCCGCUGGUCGACUCGGUCGCCGAGCAUCAACCCGCUGGUCCAGAGGCGAUGUGGUCUUUUCUUCACGUGUGCGGUGUGACCUGGGGCUUGGGCUCCAUUGUGCUUGCUCUCUCGACGUUCGUGCACUACGCCCCGUCGAAGCUCUUCUGGCUACUGAACUCCGGCGCAGUGUACUACUUCAGCACCCGCAUGGCUCGGCUGCUGCUUCUCUCCGGCCCCGCUGCGUGUCUGUCCACUGGCAUUUUCGUCGGGACAAUUCUGGAAGCAGCGGUGCAACUCAGUUUUUGGGACAGUGAUGCGACAAAGGCCAGAAAGCAGCAGAAGCCGGCGCAAGGCCACCGGAGGGGGGCUGGCAAGGACAGCGACCGAGAUGACGCUGAGAGCGCGACGACCGCGCGCACACUUUGCGACGUCUUUGCCGGUAGCCCUCUGGCUUGGGGCCAUCGUAUGGUCCUGUUCAUCGCUGUGUGGGCUCUCGUCACCACAACCGCGGUGAGCUUCUUCAGUUCCGAUUUCGCGUCCCACUCAACAACGUUUGCGGAGCAGUCGUCAAAUCCGAUGAUUGUUUUUGCGGCCGUCGUGCAAAACCGUGCCACAGGCAAGCCUAUGAACAUAUUGGUGGAUGACUACCUGCGCAGCUAUAUCUGGCUGCGCGACAACACGCCAGAGGACGCGCGCAUUUUGGCCUGGUGGGACUACGGCUACCAGAUCACAGGCAUCGGCAACCGCACCUCGCUGGCCGAUGGCAACACCUGGAACCACGAGCACAUCGCCACCAUCGGCAAGAUGCUGACGUCGCCCGUGGCGGAGGCGCACUCGCUGGUGCGCCACAUGGCCGACUACGUCCUAAUCUGGGCUGGGCAGAGCGGUGACCUGAUGAAGUCACCGCACAUGGCGCGCAUCGGCAACAGUGUGUACCACGACAUCUGCCCCCACGACCCGCUGUGCCAGCAAUUUGGCUUUUACAGAAAUGAUUACAGUCGCCCAACACCGAUGAUGCGGGCGUCGCUGCUGUACAACCUGCACGAGGUCGGGAAAACAAAGGGCGUGAAGGUGGACCCGUCUCUCUUUCAGGAGGUGUACUCGUCCAAGUACGGCCUGGUGCGCGUCUUCAAGGUCAUGAACGUGAGCGAGGAGAGCAAGGAGUGGGUUGCUGACCCGGCAAACCGCGUGUGCCACCCGCCUGGGUCGUGGAUCUGCCCCGGGCAGUACCCGCCGGCGAAGGAGAUCCAGGAGAUGCUGGCACACCGCGUCCCCUUCGAUCAGGUGGAAAAAGUCGAUCGGAAAAACCAUGUCGGGUUGUAUCACGAGGAGUACAUGCGCCGGAUGCGUGAAAGCGAGAGCUGACGGUAAUGGCUGCAACACCAGCAAGAAAAAAGCAAAGGCGGUGAGUGCAGUGGUCGGUGUCGGUCGUUUGACGGACAAUUUCGGGGAAGAAGCUCGCGAGAACAGGACACCGAAUAAUGCGAAGAAAAAUGAGCCGCACCAAGGGCGUGCCGAACCUCCUCCUCAGUCAUUGGUUGUCUUGAUUUUUUCAAAAUGGAUCAAGGUUGGUGGGCAACGCGAGGCGAGAAUCGCUUCAUGAUGGCGUGGCGGUAAGGAGAAGAGAAGCACAGAGAAACAAGCGGAUGGGUGAUCGUGAUUUUUCGGCUCGUAUGUGUGUGUGUGUGUGUGUGUGUGUGUGUGUGUGUGUGUGUGUGUGUGUGCGGGAGUGCAUAGGUGUCCUC
rnacentral:misc_RNA from 1 species